UAACACAUGCAAGUCGAACGAGCGAAGAGGAGCUUGCUUCUCGAGCGAGUGGCGAACGGGUGAGUAACGCGUGAGGAACCUGGCCUCAAAGAGGGGGACAACAGUUGGAAACGACUGCUAAUACCGCAUAAGCCCGCGGCUCGGCAUCGAGCAGAGGAAAAGGAGCAAUCCGCUUUGAGAUGGCCUCGCGUCCGAUUAGCUAGUUGGUGAGGUAACGGCCCACCAAGGCGACGAUCGGUAGCCGGACUGAGAGGUUGAACGGCCACAUUGGGACUGAGACACGGCCCAGACUCCUACGGGAGGCAGCAGUGGGAAUAUUGCACAAUGGGGAAACCCUGAUGCAGCGACGCCGCGUGGAGGAAGAAGGUCUUCGGAUUGUAAACUCCUGUUGUUGAGGAAGAUAAUGACGGUACUCAACAAGGAAGUGACGGCUAACUACGUG
rnacentral:rRNA from 1 species